rnacentral:tRNA from 1 species
GCGGGCGUGAUGGAACGGCAGACAUGCGGGCUUUAGGUGCCCGUGCUCGAAAGAGCGUGAGGGUUCAAAUCCCUCCGCCCGCA